rnacentral:rRNA from 1 species
UAGGGAAUCUUCGGCAAUGGGGGGAACCCUGACCGAGCAACGCCGCGUGAGUGAAGAAGGUUUUCGGAUCGUAAAGCUCUGCUGUUAAGGAAGAACGAGUGUGAGAAUGGAAAGUUCAUGCUGUGACGGUACUUAACCAGAAAGGGACGGCUAACUACGUGCCAGCAGCCGCGGUAAUACGUAGGUCCCGAGCGUUGUCCGGAUUUAUUGGGCGUAAAGCGAGCGCAGGCGGGUAGAAAAGUCUGAAGUGAAAGGCAGUGGCUCAACCAUUGUAGGCUUUGGAAACUGUUUAACUUGAGUGCAGAAGGGGAGAGUGGAAUUCCAUGUGUAGCGGUGAGAUGCGUAGAUAUAUGGAGGAACACCGGUGGCGAAGGCCGCUCUCUGAUAUGUAACUGACGCUGAGGCUCGAAAGCGUGGGGAGCGAACAGG